rnacentral:rRNA from 1 species
UACUGGGCGUAAGCGUGCGUAGGCGGUUAUUUAAGUCAGAUGUGAAAGCCCCGGGCUUAACCUGGGAACUGCAUUUGAUACUGGGUAACUAGAGUUUAAUAGAGAAGAGUGGAAUUUCAGGUGUAGCGGUGAAAUGCGUAGAGAUCUGAAGGAACACCAGUGGCGAAGGCGACUCUCUGGAUUAAAACUGACGCUGAGGUACGAAAGCGUGGGUAGCAAACAGGAUUAGAUACCCUGGUAGUCCACGCCGUAAACGAUGUCAACUAGCCGUUGGGCCUUUUAACAGGCUUAGUGGCGCAGCUAACGCAUUAAGUUGACCGCCUGGGGAGUACGGCCGCAAGGUUAAAACUCAAAUGAAUUGACGGGGGCCCGCACAAGCGGUGGAGCAUGUGGUUUAAUUCGAUGCAACGCGAAGAACCUUACCUACCCUUGACAUGCAGUAGAAUC